rnacentral:rRNA from 1 species
AUUGAACGCUGGCGGCAGGCCUAACACAUGCAAGUCGAGCGGAUGAAGGCAGCUUGCUCCUGGAUUCAGCGGCGGACGGGUGAGUCAUGCCUAAGAAUCUGCCUGGUAGUGGGGGAUAACGUCAGGAAACGGGCGAUAAUACCGACUACGCACUGAGGGAGAAAGUGGGGGAUCUUCGGACCUCACGCUAUGAGAUGAGCCUAGGUCGGAUUAGCUAGUUGGUGGGGUAAAGGCCUACAAAGGCGACGAUCCGUAACUGGUCUGAGAGGAUGAUCAGUCACACUGGAGCUGGGACACGGUCCAUACUCCUACGGGAGGCAGCAGUGGGGAAUAUUGGACAAUGGGCGAAAGCCUUAUCCAGCCAUGCCGCGUGUGUGAAGAAGGUCUUCGGAUUGUAAAGCACUUUUAGUUGUGGGGAAGGGCAGUAAGUUAAUACCUUGCUGUUUUGACGUUACCAGCAGAAUAAGCACCGGCUAACUUCGUG